rnacentral:rRNA from 1 species
AUUGAACGCUGGCGGCAUGCUUUACACAUGCAAGUCGAACGGUAACAGGUCUUUCGGGAUGCUGACGAGUGGCGAACGGGUGAGUAAUGUAUCGGAACGUGCCCAGUAGUGGGGGAUAACUACUCGAAAGAGUGGCUAAUACCGCAUGAGAUCUCUGGAUGAAAGCGGGGGACCGUAAGGCCUCGCGCUACUGGAGCGGCCGAUAUCAGAUUAGGUAGUUGGUAGGGUAAGAGCCUACCAAGCCAACGAUCUGCAGCUGGUCUGAGAGGACGACCAGCCACACUGGGACUGAGACACGGCCCAGACUCCUACGGGAGGCAGCAGUGGGGAAUUUUGGACAAUGGGCGCAAGCCUGAUCCAGCAAUGCCGCGUGCAGGACGAAGGCCUUCGGGUUGUAAACUGCUUUUGUACGGAACGAAAAGCUUCUGGUUAAUACCUGGGAGUCAUGACGGUACCGUAAGAAUAAGCACCGGCUAACUACGUG